rnacentral:lncRNA from 1 species
UCUUCUCCCGAUCGAUCAUGUUUUUAACAAAAUUACGAGGGCCGAGUUAACGCGAGAGGAAAGUAUUUUCUUGAACUCAGUCCCGGCAAACUCGCUCCGUUCAUUCCAUCGCUAAUGUUCCAUGAAACCCGUGGCACGCCGCUCCCGCGCGAAUUAAAGAGUGAAAUAUGUUAAUGGAGUUCUCUCUCGAAGAGUGCGCGCGCGCGCGCAAGCGCACGUUAGCAAGCAACCCAGGAGGACCGGAUGGUAUCUUGAUUAAGGUGUCUGGCGGACGUUAGUCAUUCCGAGCAUCUCCAGCAAAGGCAGGCAAGCAGGCAGGCAGGACCACGAAAAUCUAAUUUUCAAGAACGCAAAGUGAAAAACGUUCUUCCCACGAAUCGUGGUAUCUUGGCGUUUGCCGCGCGGAAAAAGACAUGGAAAAAAAGAGAGAAAUAGAAAAGAGAAAAAUCUCGAGAUAUCUCGACGGGAACCUUGAAAAAAUUUGAUCGGGCCUAUCGUUAAAGAUCUUGACCUUGAACUGCAA